UACGAAGGGGGGCUAGCGUUGUUCGGAAUUACUGGGCGUAAAGGGCGCGUAGGCGGUGUGUCAAGUCAGGCGUGAAAGCCCCCGGGCUCAACCUGGGAACCGCGCUUGAGACUGGCACGCUCGAGUUCGGGAGAGGGAUGGUGGAAUUCCCAGUGUAGAGGUGAAAUUCGUAGAUAUUGGGAAGAACACCGAUGGCGAAGGCAGCCAUCUGGACCGACACUGACGCUGAGGCGCGAAAGCGUGGGGAGCAAACAGG
rnacentral:rRNA from 1 species